rnacentral:rRNA from 1 species
GAUGAACGCUGGCGGCGUGCCUAAUACAUGCAAGUCGAGCGAACAGACGAGGAGCUUGCUCCUCUGACGUUAGCGGCGGACGGGUGAGUAACACGUGGAUAACCUACCUAUAAGACUGGGAUAACUUCGGGAAACCGGAGCUAAUACCGGAUAAUAUAUUGAACCGCAUGGUUCAAUAGUGAAAGACGGUUUUGCUGUCACUUAUAGAUGGAUCCGCGCCGCAUUAGCUAGUUGGUAAGGUAACGGCUUACCAAGGCGACGAUGCGUAGCCGACCUGAGAGGGUGAUCGGCCACACUGGAACUGAGACACGGUCCAGACUCCUACGGGAGGCAGCAGUAGGGAAUCUUCCGCAAAGGGCGAAAGCCUGACGGAGCAACGCCGCGUGAGUGAUGAAGGUCUUCGGAUCGUAAAACUCUGUUAUUAGGGAAGAACAAGUGUGUAAGUAACUAUGCACGUCUUGACGGUACCUAAUCAGAAAGCCACGGCUAACUACGUG